rnacentral:rRNA from 1 species
UUAAGUUAGAAAGGGCGCACGGUGGAUGCCUUGACACUAGGAGUCGAUGAAGGACGGGACUAACGCCGAUAUGCUUCGGGGAGCUGUAAGUAAGCUUUGAUCCGAAGAUUUCCGAAUGGGGAAACCCACCAUACGUAAUGGUAUGGUAUCCUUAUCUGAAUACAUAGGGUAAGGAAGACAGACCCAGGGAACUGAAACAUCUAAGUACCUGGAGGAAGAGAAAGCAAAUGCGAUUUCCUGAGUAGCGGCGAGCGAAACGGAACAUAGCCCAAACCAAGAGGCUUGCCUCUUGGGGUUGUAGGACAUUCUAUACGGAGUUACAAAGGAACGAGGUAGACGAAGCGACCUGGAAAGGUCCGUCGUAGAGGGUAACAACCCCGUAGUCGAAACUUCGUUCUCUCUUGAAUGUAUCCUGAGUACGGCGGAACACGUGAAAUUCCGUCGGAAUCUGGGAGGACCAUCUCCCAAGGCUAAAUACUCCCUAGUGAUCGAUAGUGAACCAGUACCGUGAGGGAAAGGUGAAAAGCACCCCGGAAGGGGAGUGAAAGAGAUCCUGAAACCGUGUGCCUACAAAUAGUCAGAGCCCGUUAACGGGUGAUGGCGUGCCUUUUGUAGAAUGAACCGGCGAGUUACGAUCCCGUGCGAGGUUAAGCUGAAGAGGCGGAGCCGCAGCGAAAGCGAGUCUGAAUAGGGCGUUUAGUACGUGGUCGUAGACCCGAAACCAGGUGAUCUACCCAUGUCCAGGGUGAAGUUCAGGUAACACUGAAUGGAGGCCCGAACCCACGCACGUUGAAAAGUGCGGGGAUGAGGUGUGGGUAGCGGAGAAAUUCCAAUCGAACCUGGAGAUAGCUGGUUCUCCCCGAAAUAGCUUUAGGGCUAGCCUUAAGUGUAAGAGUCUUGGAGGUAGAGCACUGAUUGGACUAGGGGUCCUCAUCGGAUUACCGAAUUCAGUCAAACUCCGAAUGCCAAUGACUUAUCCUUAGGAGUCAGACUGCGAGUGAUAAGAUCCGUAGUCAAAAGGGAAACAGCCCAGACCGCCAGCUAAGGUCCCAAAGUGUGUAUUAAGUGGAAAAGGAUGUGGAGUUGCUUAGACAACUAGGAUGUUGGCUUAGAAGCAGCCACCAUUUAAAGAGUGCGUAAUAGCUCACUAGUCGAGUGACUCUGCGCCGAAAAUGUACCGGGGCUAAAUACACCACCGAAGCUGCGGAUUGAUACCAAUGGUAUCAGUGGUAGGGGAGCGUUCUAAGGACAGUGAAGUCAGACCGGAAGGACUGGUGGAGUGCUUAGAAGUGAGAAUGCCGGUAUGAGUAGCGAAAGACGGGUGAGAAUCCCGUCCACCGAAUGCCUAAGGUUUCCUGAGGAAGGCUCGUCCGCUCAGGGUUAGUCAGGACCUAAGCCGAGGCCGACAGGCGUAGGCGAUGGACAACAGGUUGAUAUUCCUGUACCACCUCUUUAUCGUUUGAGCAAUGGAGGGACGCAGAAGGAUAGAAGAAGCGUGCGAUUGGUUGUGCACGUCCAAGCAGUUAGGCUGAUAAGUAGGCAAAUCCGCUUAUCGUGAAGGCUGAGCUGUGAUGGGGAAGCUCCUUAUGGAGCGAAGUCUUUGAUUCCCCGCUGCCAAGAAAAGCUUCUAGCGAGAUAAAAGGUGCCUGUACCGCAAACCGACACAGGUAGGCGAGGAGAGAAUCCUAAGGUGUGCGAGAGAACUCUGGUUAAGGAACUCGGCAAAAUGACCCCGUAACUUCGGGAGAAGGGGUGCUUUCUUAACGGAAAGCCGCAGUGAAUAGGCCCAAGCGACUGUUUAGCAAAAACACAGCUCUCUGCGAAGCCGUAAGGCGAAGUAUAGGGGGUGACACCUGCCCGGUGCUGGAAGGUUAAGGAGAGGGGUUAGCGUAAGCGAAGCUCUGAACUGAAGCCCCAGUAGACGGCGGCCGUAACUAUAACGGUCCUAAGGUAGCGAAAUUCCUUGUCGGGUAAGUUCCGACCCGCACGAAAGGUGUAACGAUUUGGGCACUGUCUCAACCAGAGACUCGGUGAAAUUAUAGUACCUGUGAAGAUGCAGGUUACCCGCGACAGGACGGAAAGACCCCGUGGAGCUUUACUGUAGCCUGAUAUUGAAUUUUGGUACAGUUUGUACAGGAUAGGCGGGAGCCUUUGAAACCGGAGCGCUAGCUUCGGUGGAGGCGCUGGUGGGAUACCGCCCUGACUGUAUUGAAAUUCUAACCUACGGGUCUUAUCGACCCGGGAGACAGUGUCAGGUGGGCAGUUUGACUGGGGCGGUCGCCUCCUAAAGUGUAACGGAGGCGCCCAAAGGUUCCCUCAGAAUGGUUGGAAAUCAUUCGUAGAGUGCAAAGGCAUAAGGGAGCUUGACUGCGAGACCUACAAGUCGAGCAGGGACGAAAGUCGGGCUUAGUGAUCCGGUGGUUCCGCAUGGAAGGGCCAUCGCUCAACGGAUAAAAGCUACCCCGGGGAUAACAGGCUUAUCUCCCCCAAGAGUCCACAUCGACGGGGAGGUUUGGCACCUCGAUGUCGGCUCAUCGCAUCCUGGGGCUGUAGUCGGUCCCAAGGGUUGGGCUGUUCGCCCAUUAAAGCGGUACGCGAGCUGGGUUCAGAACGUCGUGAGACAGUUCGGUCCCUAUCCGUCGUGGGCGUAGGAAAUUUGAGAGGAGCUGUCCUUAGUACGAGAGGACCGGGAUGGACGCACCGCUGGUGUACCAGUUGUUCUGCCAAGGGCAUAGCGGGUAGCUAUGUGCGGAAGGGAUAAGUGCUGAAAGCAUCUAAGCAUGAAGCCCCCCUCAAGAUGAGAUUUCCCAUAGCGUAAGCUAGUAAGAUCCCUGAAAGAUGAUCAGGUUGAUAGGUUCGAGGUGGAAGCAUGGUGACAUGUGGAGCUGACGAAUACUAAUAGAUCGAGGACUUAACCAU